rnacentral:rRNA from 1 species
GCUCUGUUGCCAAGGAAGAACGGCCAGGGGAGUAACUGCCCCUGGAGUGACGGUACUUGAGAAGAAAGCCCCGGCUAACUACGUGCCAGCAGCCGCGGUAAUACGUAGGGGGCAAGCGUUGUCCGGAAUUAUUGGGCGUAAAGCGCGCGCAGGCGGUCUUUUAAGUCUGGUGUUUAAGCCCGGGGCUCAACCCCGGUUCGCACUGGAAACUGGGAGACUUGAGUGUAGGAGAGGAAAGUGGAAUUCCACGUGUAGCGGUGAAAUGCGUAGAGAUGUGGAGGAACACCAGUGGCGAAGGCGACUUUCUGGCCUAUAACUGACGCUGAGGCGCGAAAGCGUGGGGAGCAAACAGGAUUAGAUACCCUGGUAUCCACGCCGUAAACGAUGAAUGCUAGGUGUUAGGGGUUUCGAUACCCUUGGUGCCGAAGUUAACACAGUAAGCAUUCCGCCU